rnacentral:rRNA from 1 species
GAUGAACGCUGGCGGCGUGCCUAAUACAUGCAAGUCGAACGAUGAAGCUGGAGCUUGCUCCGGUGGAUUAGUGGCGAACGGGUGAGUAACACGUGAGCAAUCUGCCCUUGACUCUGGGAUAACUGCGGGAAACUGUAGCUAAUACCGGAUACUUUCACUGGAAGGCAUCUUCUGGUGAAGAAAGAAUUUCGGUCAAGGAUUAGCUCGCGGCCUAUCAGCUUGUUGGUGAGGUAACGGCUCACCAAGGCGACGACGGGUAGCCGGCCUGAGAGGGUGACCGGCCACACUGGGACUGAGACACGGCCCAGACGCCUACGGGAGGCAGCAGUGGGGAAUAUUGCACAAUGGGCGCAAGCCUGAUGCAGCAACGCCGCGUGAGGGAUGAAGGCCUUCGGGUUGUAAACCUCUUUUAGCAGGGAAGAAGCGAAAGUGACGGUACCUGCAGAAAAAGCACCGGCUAACUACGUGCCAGCAGCCGCCGUAA